rnacentral:rRNA from 1 species
UACGUAGGGUGCGAGCGUUGUCCGGAAUUACUGGGCGUAAAGCGUGCGCAGGCGGUUCGUUGUGUCUGAUGUGAAAGCCCCGGGCUCAACCUGGGAAUGGCAUUGGAAACUGGCGAGCUAGAGUGUGGCAGAGGGGGGUGGAAUUCCGCGUGUAGCAGUGGAAUGCGUAGAGAUGCGGAGGAACACCGAUGGCGAAGGCAGCCCCCUGGGCUGACACUGACGCUCAGGCACGAAAGCGUGGGGAGCAAACAGG